rnacentral:tRNA from 1 species
GCACCCGUAGCUCAGCGGGCAGAGCAGUGGAUUUUUGAUCCUCGGGUCAUGGGUUCGAAUUCCACCGGGUGCACCC